rnacentral:rRNA from 1 species
AAAUCAUGGUAGGGCUACCCGCUGUAU